rnacentral:rRNA from 1 species
AGACUUUGAUAAUGGCUCAGAACGAACGCUGGCGGCAGGCCUAACACAUGCAAGUCGAACGAACCCUUCGGGGUGAGUGGCGCACGGGUGAGUAACACGUGGGAACCUGCCCUGGAGUACGGAAUAACCAUUGGAAACGAUGGCUAAUACCGUAUACGCCCUACGGGGGAAAGUUUUAACGCUCCAGGAUGGGCCCGCGCCCGAUUAGGUAGUUGGUGUGGUAACGGCGCACCAAGCCGACGAUCGGUAGCUGGUCUGAGAGGAUGAUCAGCCACACUGGGACUGAGACACGGCCCAGACUCCUACGGGAGGCAGCAGUGGGGAAUAUUGGACAAUGGGCGCAAGCCUGAUCCAGCCAUGCCGCGUGAGUGAUGAAGGCCUUCGGGUUGUAAAGCACUUUCAAUAGGGAGGAAAGGUUAUACGUUAAUACCGUAUAGCUGUGACGUUACCUAUAGAAGAAGCACCGGCUAACUCCGUGCCAGCAGCCGCGGUAAUACGAAGGGUGCAAGCGUUAAUCGGAAUUACUGGGCGUAAAGCGCGCGUAGGUGGGUUUGAUAAGUUGGAUGUGAAAA